GAUGAACGCUGGCGGCGUGCCUAAUACAUGCAAGUCGAGCGAACAGACGAGGAGCUUGCUCCUCUGACGUUAGCGGCGGACGGGUGAGUAACACGUGGAUAACCUACCUAUAAGACUGGGAUAACUUCGGGAAACCGGAGCUAAUACCGGAUAAUAUAUUGAACCGCAUGGUUCAAUAGUGAAAGACGGUUUUGCUGUCACUUAUAGAUGGAUCAGCGCCGCAUUCGCUAGUUGGUAAGGUAACGGCUUACCAAGGCGACGAUGCGUAGCCGACCUGAGAGGGUGAUCGGCCAAGCUGGAACUGAGACAUGGUCCAGACUCCUACGGGAGGCAGCAGUAGGGAAUCUUCCGGAAUGGGCGAAAGCCUGACGGAGCAACGCCGCGUGAGUGAUGAAGGUCUUCGGAUCGUAAAACUCUGUUAUUAGGGAAGAACAAAUGUGUAAGUAACUAGGCACGUCUUGACGGUACCUAAUCAGAAAGCCACGGCUAACUACGUG
rnacentral:rRNA from 1 species